rfam:Tetranychus urticae London genomic scaffold, scaffold_2
GUCAGGAUGGCCGAGUGGUCUAAGGCGCUGCGUUCAGGUCGCAGUCAGAUUUAUCUGGCGUGGGUUCGAAUCCCACUUCUGACA